UUAAAACUGCAAAGCCCAGCAUCGCCCUGCCGACUUCCCCAUUUACACACCUUUGGACACACUUCAUAGUUAGCUUACUGUGUUUAUCGUCUGUGUCUCCCCACCAGAUCGUAGGCUCAGUGUCCCUUGAUGAAGCAAGCUGUCCUAAUUGAGAAAAACAAGCUCCAAAGGGGACAGAACUAAUCCAUGCCAUGCCAUCAGCUGUGACCUGCCUGCCAAGGCUCCACUUGCUGCAGAAAAUCUCAAAGUCCAGCCCCACUAGGGAUGUCCACGGACCUCCAAAGAAACACUACAUAAGAAAGCAUGCAUAAUCGUCAGUUAAUCAGUCAGCUGCCACGUGUGACCUCCUCCUGGCCAAAUGAGCUCAGAGGUACCCACCCCAGAGACGCUUGUCACACCCAAGGACAUAAAGUAAAUGCAUCACUCUGUCAAAACCCCACCCCAAAACCUGUUCCAUCACUCCAAAUUCCCAGGGAAUAAAAUGAGGGAGAAAAUUGAA